UACGGUAGGGCGCAAGCGUUGUCCGGAAUUAUUGGGCGUAAAGAGCUCGUAGGCGGUUUGUCGCGUCUGCUGUGAAACCUAAGGCUCAACCUUGGGCUUGCAGUGGGUACGGGCAGACUAGAGUGGCGGUAGGGGUGACUGGAAUUCCUGGUGUAGCGGUGGAAUGCGCAGAUAUCAGGAGGAACACCGAUGCGAAGGCAGGUC
rnacentral:rRNA from 1 species